AGAGUUUGAUCCUGGCUCAGAGCGAACGCUGGCGGCGUGCUUAACACAUGCAAGUCGAACGCGCAGUUUUCUGUAGCAAUACAGGAAAUGGGCGCGUGGCGGACGGGUGCGUAACACGUGGAUAACCUUCCUUCAGGUGGGGAAUAACCCAGUGAAAAUUGGGCUAAUACCGCAUAACAUGGCGAGGGCACAUGCUCUUGUCUUCAAAGGCGCAAGUCGCCAGAAGAGGGAUUCGCGGCCGAUUAGCUUGUUGGCGAGGUAAUGGCUCACCAAGGCAAUGAUCGGUAGCCGGACUGAGAGGUUGGCCGGCCACACUGGAACUGAGACACGGUCCAGACUCCUACGGGAGGCAGCAGUGGGGAAUCUUGCGCAAUGGGCGAAAGCCUGACGCAGCAACGCCGCGUGGGGGAUGAAGCUUCUCGGAGUGUAAACCCCUUUCGACCCGGACGAAUGCCCGCAAGGGUUUGACGGUACGGGUAUAAGAAGCCCCGGCUAACUACGUGCCAGCAGCCGCGGUAAAACGUAGGGGGCCAGCGUUGCUCGGAAUUACUGGGCGUAAAGGGUCCGUAGGCGGUGUGGCAAGUCGGUAGUGAAAUCUCUGGGCUUAACCCAGAGGCUGCUGCCGAAACUGCCGUGCUAGAGUGCGAGAGAGGCGAGUGGAAUUGCGGGUGUAGCGGUGAAAUGCGUAGAUAUCCGCAGGAACAUCCGAGGCGAAAGCGGCUCGCUGGAUCGCAACUGACGCUGAGGGACGAAAGCUAGGGAGCAAACAGGAUUAGAUACCCUGGUAGUCCUAGCCCUAACCAUCAGACUUGGGGUUUGCCCUGUACGGGGCAAGUCCCGUAGCUAACGCGUAGUCUGCGCUGGGGAGUACGUCG
rnacentral:rRNA from 1 species